GUGUCAGCAGCCGCGGUAAUACAGAGGUCUCGAGCGUUGUUCGGAUUUAUUGGGCGUAAAGGGUGCGUAGGCGGUAUGGCAAGUCAAGUGUGAAAUCUCGGAGCUCAACUUCGAAACUGCACUUGAUACUACUAUGCUAGAGGGUUGUAGAGGAGACCGGAAUUCACGGUGUAGCAGUGAAAUGCGUAGAUAUCGUGAGGAAGACCAGUUGCGAAAGCGGGUCUCUGGGCAAUUCCUGACGCUGAGGCACGAAGGCUAGGGGAGCAAACGGGAUUAGAUACCCCGGUAGUCC
rnacentral:rRNA from 1 species